GAAACCACAAUGGUUAGGGCCUUGUCUCUUAUUUCAGGUCCUGAGGAGAAACCACAACGAUUAGGGCCUUGUCUCUUAUUUCAGGUCCUGAGGAGAAACCACAACGAUUAGGGCCUUGUCUCUUAUUUCAGGUCCUGAGGAGAAACCACAACGAUUAGGGCCUUGUCUCUUAUUCAGGUCCUGAGGAGAAACCACAACGAUUAGGGCCUUGUCUCUUAUUUCAGGUCCUGAGGAGAAACCACAACGAUUAGGGCCUUGUCUCUUAUUCAGGUCCUGAGGAGAAACCACAACGAUUAGGGCCUUGUCUCUUAUUUCAGGUCCUGAGGAGAAACCACAACGAUUAGGGCCUUGUCUCUUAUUCAGGUCCUGAGGAGAAACCACAACGAUUAGGGCCUUGUCUCUUAUUUCAGGUCCUGAGGAGAAACCACAACGAUUAGGGCCUUGUCUCUUAUUUCAGGUCCUGAGGAGAAACCACAACGAUUAGGGCCUUGUCUCUUAUUUCAGGUCCUGAGGAGAAACCACAACGAUUAGGGCCUUGUCUCUUAUUUCAGGUCCUGAGGAGAAACCACAACGAUUAGGGCCUUGUCUCUUAUUCAGGUCCUGAGGAGAAACCACAACGAUUAGGGCCUUGUCUCUUAUUUCAGGUCCUGAGGAGAAACCACAACGAUUAGGGCCUUGUCUCUUAUUCAGGUCCUGAGGAGAAACCACAACGAUUAGGGCCUUGUCUCUUAUUCAGGUCCUGAGGAGAAACCACAACGAUUAGGGCCUUGUCUCUUAUUCAGGUCCUGAGGAGAAACCACAACGAUUAGGGCCUUGUCUCUUAUUCAGGUCCUGAGGAGAAACCACAAUGGUUAGGGCCUUGUCUCUUAUUCAGGUCCUGAGGAGAAACCACAACGAUUAGGGCCUUGUCUCUUAUUUCAGGUCCUGAGGAGAAACCACAACGAUUAGGGCCUUGUCUCUUAUUCAGGUCCUGAGGAGAAACCACAACGAUUAGGGCCUUGUCUCUUAUUUCAGGUCCUGAGGAGAAACCACAACGAUUAGGGCCUUGUCUCUUAUUCAGGUCCUGAGGAGAAACCACAACGAUUAGGGCCUUGUCUCUUAUUCAGGUCCUGAGGAGAAACUACAACGAUUAGG